rnacentral:rRNA from 1 species
UGCAAGUCGAACGGUAGCACAGAGAGCUUGCUCUCGGGUGACGAGUGGCGGACGGGUGAGUAAUGUCUGGGAAACUGCCUGAUGGAGGGGGAUAACUACUGGAAACGGUAGCUAAUACCGCAUAACGUCGCAAGACCAAAGAGGGGGACCUUCGGGCCUCUUGCCAUCAGAUGUGCCCAGAUGGGAUUAGCUAGUAGGUGGGGUAACGGCUCACCUAGGCGACGAUCCCUAGCUGGUCUGAGAGGAUGACCAGCCACACUGGAACUGAGACACGGUCCAGACUCCUACGGGAGGCAGCAGUGGGGAAUAUUGCACAAUGGGCGCAAGCCUGAUGCAGCCAUGCCGCGUGUAUGAAGAAGGCCUUCGGGUUGUAAAGUACUUUCAGCGGGGAGGAAGGUGUUGUGGUUAAUAACCACAGCAAUUGACGUUACCCGCAGAAGAAGCACCGGCUAACUCCGUGCCAGCA